AGAGGUUCCGGCGGGUGGCUCCUCUCCGGCUUGAAACCUUAGAGCGGCUUCUUCUUGUCUGCGGCUUCUGACCUGCGAGCAAAGGAAAAAGCAACGAGAUGACAGACCGCUACACCAUCCACAGCCAGUUAGAGCAUCUGCAGUCCAAAUACAUCGGCACCGGCCACGCCGACACCACCAAAUGGGAGUGGCUGGUGAACCAGCACCGCGACUCCUAUUGCUCCUACAUGGGCCACUUCGACCUUCUCAACUACUUUGCCAUUGCCGAGAAUGAGAGCAAAGCGCGAGUCCGCUUCAACUUGAUGGAGAAGAUGCUGCAGCCUUGCGGCCCGCCCGCCGACAAACCGGAGGAGAACUGAGACCUCACCGUCUCACCGCUAGGUCCUUACCCGGGGCGUUCCGUCCGACCUGCCUUCCUGUGGAACAAAGAGUUGGGAGACCCGUCAUAACCCCUGAGAAACUGAACAGUGGAGAGAUCCUAAAGUCUGCAGACGUUAGAGGAGAUAUGGCUGGAGUGAGAUGGGAUUAAGAGGCUCGUUUUUGGCUAGUUGACUGUCUUCGUUGCUUUUUCUAUAAAGUUUAGAAAUGUUUCGGUCUCUUGGUGUGGACUACUUGUGUUCUGGUGGAGGGGCCAAGGAGGGCUCUGGGACUGUGGUUUGCCGGGUGGCGGGGGGUAUAAAGAAGGGGAGGGUUGGGGAGGGGUUCAACAGUAGCACAGGGCCAAAGUUCGUUGCCAGACACUUAAAUACGCUCUUUAUAAUAUUCUCCAACCCUGACUUCUCCCAGGAACUUUUCUCAGGCCCUUAACACAUUCACUAUUGAGGUUUGUGAUCACUGUGUCCUUUUUCUUUCAUACAAAAAAAAAAAUCUUGACUCGCUUUGCCUUCUCUCUGUAGAUUACACCUCUUUCUUUUGGAAAUACGUGGACAUAUCUUGAGUAUUGACAAACUGUCAAAUUAGUUCUUAAAUUCAUUCAGCAAAUACGUGUUGAAUUUUAUGUGGCAGGCUUUAAGGACCUAUAUUACACUGGUUGGGGGAGCAGAAGACCACAAAAUUUGCAGACAUAAGCAAGCACAUGUUGGAGGGUGCUGUGGAGAAUGAGAGUAGCAGUAGGGUUGCAGUUUUAAGUAGAAUGCUCAGGAGUUCCCAUCCUGGCUCAGCGGAAACAAUCUGACUAGGAUCCAUGAGGAUGCAGGUUUGGUCCCUGACCUCACUGAGUGGGUUAAGGAUCCGGCUUUGCUGUGAGCUGCAAUGUAGCUGGCAGAUACGGCAGGGAUCCUGUGUUGCUGUGGCAUAGGCCAACGGCUACAGCUCUGAUACAGUCCCUAGCCUGAGAACCUCCAUAUGCCACCGGUGUGGCCCUAAAAAAAAAAAAAUCCAUAAAUAAGAUGUUCAUGUUAAACUAUUGAGAAGGUAACAUUUAAGCAGAGACUUUAAGGAAAUGAGGGAAAUACCAUGCGGAAAACUGGGGAAAUCGUUUCCCAGGUAGAGGGAACUGCCAGUGCAAUGUUCCUACUACAGGAAUUGUGGCAGGCUUACUGGAAAAACAGCAAACAAACAAGUAUGAUUGAAGGGAGUGAGUGAGGGAAAGAGUAGAGGGAUAGAUUAUGAAGGGAAACAGAUAAAAGUAGAGCCUGAUUGGCCAGUGUAAGGACUUGUGGCUUUUACCCUAAAGAGGUGGGGAGCCAUUGGAAGAUUAUUAAGUGAUACAGUCUGACAUAUUUUAGAUCAGUGGGUCUCAAAUGUUUUGGCCUUUGGACAUAAUUACGUUCUUAGAAAUUCUUCAAGACCCCCACAGAGCUUUUGUUUUUGAGAGUAAUAGCUGUUGAUAGUCACCAAGCUAGAAAUUAAAACAGAAAAUUUAAAAUACCUAGUAAUUCAUUUUAAAAUAGCAAUAGUAAAACUAUUACGUGUUAACAACAUUUUCGUGAAAAAUAACUACUUUCCAAAACAAUUUAGUGAGAAGAAUGGUGCCUUAAAAAAACAAAACAAAACAGGCGUUCCCAGUGCUGGCCUUGGUAACGAACCUGACUAGUAUCCAUGAGGACUCUGGUUCAAUCCCUGGCCUCUCUCAGUGGAUUAGAGUUCUGGCAUUGCUGUGAGCUGUGGUGUAAGUUGCAGCCAUGAUUGGAGUCUGCCUGCUGGCCACAGCCACAGCCACAGCAACGCCAGAUCCAAGCUGCAUCUUCAACCUACACCACAGCUCACCGCAACACCUGAUUCUUAACCCACUGAGCAAGGCCAAGGAUCAGAACCCGCCUUUUCAUGGGUACUAGUAGGUUUAUUGCCACUGAGCCACAAAGGAACUCCAAGACAGCUGGAUUCUUGUAUCUUCUACAUUCAAACUAUUGGGAUAUGAUUUUGGUUGAAGUAUGAAAAAUCCAUGUCACAUAAAUAUAUAGUAAAGGAGAAAUAUUUUAAUAGCCUUUCCAAGUAGUUAUGGAUAUUCUUUUUUUUUUUUUUUGCAACACCCACAGCAUGUGGAAGUUCCCAGGCCAGGGAUUGAACCUGCACUACAGCAGUGACCAGAGCCACUGCAGUGAAAAGGGAACUCCCAAUUAUGGAUACUCUUUGAUACAUUAGCAAAGCCCAACAAGUGGUAAUUUCUUAGAAGUUAGUUACAACAUGGAAUCUGAUCAAUGAACUUUUCAUUGUCUAGUACAUUAAAAUUCAUUAAUCUGGAGUUCCUGCUGUGGUGCAGUGGGUUAAUGAUCUGGCUUUUCUCUGUGGAGGUGCUGGUUCAAUCCCUGACCUGGUGCAGUGGGUUUAGGAUCCAGUGUUGCUGUGAGUUGCAGCUCUGGCUUGGAUUCCAUCCCCGGCCCAGGAACUUCCAUAUGCUGUGGGUUUGGCCAUUUAAAAAAAACAAAAUUUUUUUCUCUAAUCUGUCUUUUGCUCAUACAUGAUUUUGUAACAUCUUACAUUGGUCAGUUGGAAAGUUUUGGCUGAGUUAUACGUGCUGCAUAAAUGUUGACACAUUUCAUUGUAUAUAUCAAAAUAUGUACUUUGUGCAUAUUAUUAGUACUUUGUGCAUAUUAUUAGUAUACCACUGAUCUCAUCAGGGAAGUCAUACAGUAUUAGAAAGCUGAAAAACUAACAGUGAUGCUAUAAGUUUUCCACAAAUUUCAGUUUUUGCUUGAUAGCUUAAAUUUGGCCACUGGUAGCAAAUACUGUCUGUUGCUUUCCUUGAAGUGACAGGCUAACUUAGUUCAUUUUCAAGAAAAUAUGUGUCAAAUACCCAGUUCUAAAUAACCAUAGUUGUUGAUCUUUCACUAAAGGUGAUCUUCCUUGAGAAAAAAAAGCAGCCAGUUCAGUUUGCAACUCAAAUAAUAGCAAGUGCUUUUUCUGAGAAAACCAUUGUGUUUUGAUAACAGAAAUGCUUUAUGCAUACUACCAAUUUUGCCACAUGAAGAAUGUGUUUUAAAAGAUGUAUCCUCAUAGGCUAAGAUUUCAUAAAAUCAGUACUUUAUAUUGUUUUGUCAAGGACAUUCUUAGGUGAAACUGAGUUGAUAUUUUUGGUUUUGUUUUGGUUUCAUUGAGAAUACAUGGCAGUGGAGAAUCCAAUGACUAUUGUUAGUUUGGUGCCUGUGUGUGUGUGUGUGUGUGUGUGUGUGUGUGUAUUUUUUUUUUUCUCCUCUUUUCUGGUUGCCCUGAGGUAUAUGGAGUUCCCAGGCUAGGGAUCAGAUCCGAGCUGGAGUCAUGACUUAAGCUGGAUCCUUAACCAACUGUGCAGGGCCAGGGAUCAAACCUUCGUCCCAGUGCUUCCAAGACGCUGCCAAUCCUGUUGUACCACAGUGGGAACUCCCGGUGCCAUUAUCUUGACUGAUGCUAAGUGCUAGUGCUUUUACUCACUAUUGCUUUUGUACCAUCUAGACAAAUAUUAACAGUGCAAAUGGCAAAUAAAAUCUUAGUAUUAUUAGGAAAAUAGUAUUGACUUCACAGAUGUUCUGAAAUUCCUUUCCCACCAUUUUCACUUGAAAAAAAAAACUGAUAUAUUAAACUGUGAUUAUUUAGACU
ensembl:lncRNA